AUGGAGCCUGCUAUGAGAAAGCACCAUUGUGUGUGAAAUUCCUGUUCAUAUGCAGGGAAAGUGACUAUGUGUGGAAGGAAGUGGUCCUGUCGUGCUGAGGGUUUCCUAGGAACUUAGCCGGCUUCAAUAAAGAAGGACGUUAGCAAGAGCCUUGGAAGGCACCGAGAGACAGGUGGCUUCCUGACUGGCGAAGAGGACGUGCCUGUCUUGAUCCCAUUAACAGAGUACCAAACAUGAUCAAUUUCAGCCCAAAGACUGACCACUAACAACUCAAAACUAAACCCUCCAGCUUAGUGAUUCUCAGACUUUACUGCAUGUUUAAAUCACCUGGGGAGCUUGCUUUUUUAAAAAUGCUGUUACUGCAUCCAAUAUCAGCUAAAUCAUACUCUCCUCGAGUGAGACUCGGCAUCAACAAUUUACAUCCUCUAGGUAAAGUCCGAAGUACAGGGAAGUACUUGGGCUCUGACACUUACUGGGACAUCUAGAAGUUUGCAUGAGUGACUUUGCAGUGCUUAAACUCUUUCACCUGAGUGUAAUUGGUCCGGCUCUGAAAAGGCCAUCUGCUUUGGGAGGAGCUGCUGCUGUGAGAGGGGAGAAGAGGAAGGCUUACAGCAGAAACCAGCAAGUGAAGAUCUUCAGUGUCCUAACAGAAGACAGGGGAGAGCCUCUGUGUCCUUUGAAUUCUACCAGCGCUUGAGAGCAAACCCCAUCUACACCUUGGGUGCUCCAUUAAUGCUUGCAAAUGGUCUCCCACUUCCUGGCUGCACCUCCCAAGGAUCAAGCAUUCUGUCUGCACAUUUAGGGUGAAAAUAGCCCGUCCUGCCUUGAUCCCUGGCAGACUAGAUUAUAGGAUUAACUCUUCGCCUCCUGGCUGGGCUAUGGGAAUCUUCUUUCUUUAGGUUUAAACAAUCAAUGAUAUCGAUUUUCACUUUCUUCUCCCACCUCACUUUGGAGCCAUUCUCAGGUUCUUAGCAAUGUUCAGCCAGCAGGUGAAACUGAGGCCUGGCCCAGCCCAGGUACCCAGGCGGGGGCUCCUUGUCGCCUCCUCUGCGUGUGAGAUGCCUCCUUGUCUGCUCAAGCCCUGAGUUUCUUCCUUCUCCUCCUCCUGCUGGUGAUAGUGUGGUGGGAGGGGCUUCAGGGACUUUCACUCCAAAGUCAGAAUUGGAAAUUCAACUUGAGCACUUGUUCAACCCCUUCACUCAUAAACGUGCAAAUCACCAGGUAAUUGGGACACCUGAAGCCACCUGUGCCUAACUGUGUCUAAUGCAGGCUGCAGGUAAAUUACCUGAAACUCAAUGAAACCAGGCUUUUUAGACUGCA